CACUGACCGUGAUAAUGUAGCGUAAUCAAUAGCCAAUUAAUUGUUGGCCGGUAUGAAUGGCAUCACGAAGGCCCCACUGUCUUAAGAGGACUCUCCAUGAAAUUGAAUUCGUAGUGAAGAUGCUACGUCCAUAUUGUAAGACGAAAAGACCCCAUUGAGCUUUACUAAAGACUUGUAUAGCUCGAAAUAACUUAAAUAAAAAGUUUAGAUAAUGUGGGAUCCGUUUUUGGUUAAUGAAACACCACUCUUUUAUUUUAAGAGAGCUAACCUUGUAGGGAGAAUGCAAGUUGGAUAGUUUGGUUGGGGCGACCACCUUUUAAAAGGUAACGAAGGUGAGCUUAAGGUCCGUAGUUAAUAGCUAGUGGCCUGACUGCAAGGGGGACAUCCCGAGCAGACACUGGUAAUCUCUCAGUGGGUUAUAGUGACCCGUCAUCUUAGAGUGGAAUAGUUGACGAUCAACGAAUAAAAG
rnacentral:rRNA from 1 species